rnacentral:sRNA from 1 species
GCUGGGUGUGGUGGUGCACACCUGUAAUCCCAGCUACAGGGAGGCUGAAGGGGAAGAUCACUUGAGCCCAGGAGUUUGAGGUUAUAGUGAGCUAUGAUUGUGCCACUGUACUCCAGCCUGGGUGUCAGAGUGAGCCCCUCUCUC